ensembl:lncRNA
AUGUGCUACGGAAACAAAAGUGCGGUUGUGCGGAAGCAGAAACGAGAGGGGAUGGGGUGGAGUGGAGAGAAGGCGAGCUGGAACCCGGGGCUGACUUGCGUCAGGGGACCUUGGUCAGGUGAUAUUCUCCUACGAAAGAAAGACUCCCACUGGCCUUCUCCCGUGGCUUUACCAACCACACUGGCAUAUCCUCUGUCAUACCUGCCACUGAGCCGUAUCUUAAACAAUAUGGCACGAAUGUAAGCGCCUUUCUGACUGCGAAGAAGAACAGGAUGCAAGAACAGAAUUCAGCCAACCUCACUCUUGGCACAGGCAGCAGUGAGGAGCACGCUCAGACACUGCAGAAUGGGUCCUACUGCCAGUUCCUGCACAGAUACAGCAGCUACCAGCCUACCACACAAGCAUCCAGGCAUGGCCAUAACUGCGCUUAGCACGGAGAGAGCUGAUAUCCCUGGUGGUGGAUACGCAGCAGAUUUGGAGGCUCCAAGUGGAGAACGCUGCCUUCCUCUAUGGCACGUAUCAUCUCCAUAGAUUCAGCUCACCUCUCCAACCUGGUGAGUACUUUUGGAUAAUCACUUAAUUAUCUAAUGUGCAGAGUUACAUCUGUCCUUUCCUUUGUUUAUACAUUAUUUUCUCCUUUAUUCAGAAGGUAUUUGCUUAACUAAGGUAUUUACAUGGUAGCAAUUAAUGAGCAGCUAAUGAGGCACAAAAAGCCAUGAAACUCCUUUCACCAGCAGUUAAUAAUUCAAUCCAAUAUUUUUUGUUUACUCAGACUCAAGGAUGUCCUUCAUUAAGAUUUGUUAUCAUUUCCUGCCUUGAUGAUUCAGUGUCUAUAGUGUCACCAGCCUAUUAUCAGCACAGGAGUGAAAAGAACACUGGAUUUUGAGUCAAAUCGAAAAUAUUAGUCCCAUUUCUAUUAUUUUUAGUUUGAGCAUUUUAACAAGUUAAUUAAGUUCUCUUCACUCAUAAACAGAGUAAAUAAUACUUUCCUUGAUUAUUUCAUAAAGUUAACCUGUCAAACGUGGACAUGGAUUUGAAGGUUAUUUUCUGUAUAUAUGUCAUGUGUUUGCUAUAUAGAAAGACAGUCACAAUAUACUGUUAGCAGAAAAAGGUAAAAAAACAGUAUUACCUUAUUAUCUUAAUUUUUCUGGAAAAAAAAACACCUAGCUAAUAAUGGCCAUCUCUAUGUGACAGAAUUAUGAACGAUAUUUAUUUUGCUCUUUUUUGCUUAUAUGUAGUUUCUAUGUUUUCUAUAAGUCCUACUUGUAUAAUAAUAAAAGUUCAAAUUUUAAAAUAAUUUUGUUGUUGUUGUUGUUGUUGUUGCUAUUUCUUGGGCCGCUCCCGCGGCAUAUGGAGGUUCCCAGGCUAGGGGUCGAAUCGGAGCUGUAGCCACCGGCCUACGCCAGAGCCACAGCAAUGCGGGAUCCGAGCCGCGUCUGCAACCUACACCACAGCUCACGGCAACGCCGGAUCGCUAACCCACUGAGUAAGGGCAGGGACCGAACCCGCAACCUCAUGGUUCCUAGUCGGAUUCGUUAACCACUGCGCCACGACGGGAACUCCCUAAAAUAAUUCUUUAAUGAAUUAUAAAAUAAUACAUGUUAAUGCUAGAACAUUUGGAAAAUGCAGAAAAGUAGGAAAAAAAGCUUACAUAUAUUAACAUGCAUGCACUGGGGUAUUACUGUAACUCAUAAGAGGAGUUGCAGUAUGCCAACUUUAGGGUUGAGUUUCCACAUUCCAUGGUUCCUGGUACCACAGAGUUAGCCUCAAAAGCAGCUGAACAAUACAUGCAUUAGGCAGGAGAUUUAGUCUGUAAAUCUCCAUGGACAUUUAAAUAAAAUAUUAAAAUUUAUUUAUGCUAGGUCGCAUAUGAUUAGAGGUGAAUCAUGGGAAGUCAUUUCAAUUGGCACUGCUAAAACUUACGUUCUGAUGCUGCUAAAAAGACCAACAUAUAAAGACCUGUUUGGGGGAACUUGAUUUUAAAUAAUUGGAAAUAAAUAAUUUUUCUCUAAAAGAAUAGAUUGAAAAAAUAGACUAAACAAGACUUUUAAUUCCUUUAAAGGGAAGUAAAUUAAGGGUGAACUUGGGAAAGGGCUUACAUUCUGCACUAGAAUUCUUUCAAAUGACUUUCAAGUCUAAAGCACAAAGUCUAACUAACUAUUCCAUUAAAAUGAUUCUACAUCAGCUCCUAAACUUGGGGAAAUAUACUAAGACUAAUGGACAAUAUUAGGAGCAUAUAUAUGGUACAAAUUUUGUCCCUUUCUUGUAUUACCACCAAAUGGGAAACAGAAUGAAAUUCAUGACUGCCUUUCUAUACAGCAAGUAUAUUUUAUAUUCUCCCUAAACCUAAAGUCAUAUAUGAAAAGCCCCUGAACAGAACUGCAAAGUGGUCAUAAAUGCAAAUAGUAUCCUAGCAAUUUUCUUUCACUCUUUUCAGAGGCUUUCUGCUGUGGCUAAAACUGUUAACUAAUAUAAACCCAGAGGGAUAAAAUACUUACAAAUUAUAUAUCCAAUUACAAAGUUGUCUCUAAGAUGUACAUAGAACACUUAUAACUAAAUAAUAAAUAGACAAAUAAACCAAUUUUUAAACGAGCACAGGAUCUGACUAGACACUUCUCCAAAGAAGGUAUACAAAUAGUAUAUGAAAAAUGUUGAAUAUCAUUAGUCAUCAUGGAAAUGCAAAUUAAAAACACAGAGAGAUACCACGUCACACCCACUAGAAUGGAAAAUAAUAUUUCGGCAAGGAUGUGCAGAAACUGGAGCAUCCACAC